CAGCAGCCACGGUAAUACGAAGGGGGCUAGCGUUGCUCGGAAUGACUGGGCGUAAAGGGCGCGUAGGCGGCGAUCAAAGUCAGGCGUGAAAUUCCUGGGCUCAACCUGGGGCUGCGUUUGAUACUUGGUUGCUUGAGUGGGGAAGAGGGUCGUGGAAUUCCCAGUGUAGAGGUGAGAUGCGUAGAGAUCGGGAGGAACAUCAGUGGCGAAGGCGGCCAUCUGGGACAACACUGACGCUGAGGCGCGAAAGCGUGGGGAGCAAACAGGAUUAGAUACCCGGGUAGUCCCUGUCUCUUAUACA
rnacentral:rRNA from 1 species